CUGCCCUCGCUGUCGGUUCUUCCACAAGAGCUGAAAAAUCGAUUCGCGCCUCUCGCCUCACUCCGCUGUCUCUUCCUUCCACGAGCUUCUGUUUGGCUUCUGUUUCCUCUCACCCGCCAGUCACCUGUCUUUGCGCGCGCGGUCUUCGUCGUUAAAGCACGAUUGCGCGUCGACGGGCAAGCGCCGGUUUCCCCGUUCUUCGUCGACUCUCCUGCCCUUUCAGGGUCUCCUGCCUCGGCAUCUUCUCGGCUUUUUGACAUGCUUUUCUCUCUCCACUUUCUCGGGUGAGCACGCGCGAUGAACGUCGCAGCGUCUUCCUCUCGUGGUCCGGCGCUUCUGAAGCGAGUGGUGUCCUUC
rnacentral:lncRNA from 1 species